AUUUAUUAUUUUAGAAUGAAUUAGCUCCACACUUCGCUCAGGCGAGCGCUAAUGCUUCAGGCGAUGGAGGACAUUUUCGCCUUAAGGGCGCCUAGUGCUUUUGACAUCACUAUUUAGAGAGCAUAUUGAGCUCUGCAUCCUUAAAAUUUAAGUUCUAAUAAUCCAAGCAAUAGUGCUUGGAGACUAAGGCAGGUAAACAGGGACACUCCUGCCAUACCCUAAGUGCUGAGUUGGACUAAUCGAGAAUUCAGAGUGGGUGAUGUGUUAAGUUUGAAUGCCUUUAAUGAUGAUCUUCUUUUCUGUUGCAGGUUUUGUUUAAAGAUGGUGUUUUCCAGUGGAAACGGCUUGAAAACCUUAUUGUUCUUGCAAAGGAGAAUGUAGCUAGGAUGAGCAGCAACCCUGCAUUGCAAG
rnacentral:misc_RNA from 1 species